GGGGAAUAUUGCACAAUGGGCGGAAGCCUGAUGCAGCGACGCCGCGUGAGGGAUGACGGCCUUCGGGUUGUAAACCUCUUUCAGCAGGGAAGAAGCUUUUGUGACGGUACCUGCAGAAGAAGCACCGGCUAACUACGUGCCAGCAGCCGCGGUAAUACGUAGGGUGCAAGCGUUGUCCGGAAUUAUUGGGCGUAAAGAGCUCGUAGGCGGUUUGUCGCGUCGGUUGUGAAAGCCCAGGGCUUAACCCUGGGUUGGCAGUCGAUACGGGCAGGCUAGAGUUCGGUAGGGGAGACUGGAAUUCCUGGUGUAGCGGUGGAAUGCGCAGAUAUCAGGAGGAACACCGGUGGCGAAGGCGGGUCUCUGGGCCGAUACUGACGCUGAGGAGCGAAAGCGUGGGGAGCGAAC
rnacentral:rRNA from 1 species